rnacentral:lncRNA from 1 species
CCUCCCAUCUCAUUGAACCAAACACAAAACCAUAAAAAUUCUUCCUCUACACUCUUCCUUUUGAACUAAACAUGUCUAUAUUUUCUCUCCCUCACUCAUCUCUCUUCGUUUCAACCAAAUACUAAAUAGAAUUUUAUACUCAGUUCUCUAAUUUUUUUUUUACUUUAACCAUCAAAUGAUACUUAUAUUCUCAUAAUAGAUCAAGUUUUUAUUGAUUAGUGAUAUACAUAAAAGACCAUUGAUCUUUGGAGCCAAGAAACAAUGCUUAUGUGAAAAAAGAAAAAGAGAGAAAAUUAAAUUGAAGACAUCUUAAAAUCAAUGAUAGAUUAUAAGAGAUUCACAAGGCUUUUAAACCAUUUAGUGGUGGCAGCUUCAUGGAGUGGCCCAAAAUACAAGUUACAUGAUUCAAAGGCAAGGUGAUUGUUGAUCCAUAUCUAAUAUUUAUUUAAAAUAUGUAACAAAUAUUAUUUUGUAUUGAAACUUCUAAUAAAUUCAUUAAUUGUAUUUUUUAUUAUCAAAUCGACAUUUUUCACUAUCAGAUUAUAAGAUCCAAUAAAACACAA